AGGAAUGUAGCUUAGUGGUAGAGUGCUUGCCUAGCAUGCAUGAAGCCGUGGGUUCGAUUCCCCAGUAUCA
rnacentral:tRNA from 1 species